GUCCCUAUCGUAUAGUGGUUAGUACAUCACGUUGUGGCCGUGAAGACCCCCGGCUCGAAUCCGGGUAGGGACA
rnacentral:tRNA from 1 species